AUUGAACGCUGGCGGCAUGCCUUACACAUGCAAGUCGAACGGUAACAGGUCUUCGGAUGCUGACGAGUGGCGAACGGGUGAGUAAUACAUCGGAACGUGCCUAGUAGUGGGGGAUAACUACUCGAAAGAGUGGCUAAUACCGCAUGAGAUCUACGGAUGAAAGCAGGGGAUCGCAAGACCUUGUGCUACUAGAGCGGCCGAUGGCAGAUUAGGUAGGUGGUGGGAUAAAAGCUUACCAAGCCGACGAUCUGUAGCUGGACUGAGAGGACGAUCUGCCGCACUGGGACUGAGACACGGCACAGCCGCCUAGGGGGGGCAGCAUGGGGGAAUUUUGUAGAAUGGGCGCAAGACUGUUCCAGAAAUGCCGCGUGCAGGUUGAAGGCCUUCGGGUUGUAAACUGCUUUUGUACGGAACGAAAAGCCCUGGGUUAAUACCUUGGCUUCAUGACGGUACCGUAAGAAUAAGCACCGACUAUCUACGAGCCAGCAGCCGCCGUAACAC
rnacentral:rRNA from 1 species